rnacentral:misc_RNA from 1 species
UUGUUAGCCCUACCUGGUCUAGAUUGUAGCUGGAGUAAAUGUAGCCUACUAUUUUCCUAGCCUACCUAGAAUAAUCCCCUGACUGGUAUAUUUGUAACUGAAUGUGCUUUCUUCUUCCUAAAGAUGAUUUUGGGAUCUGUUUGAAGAGUUUCUGUUAUCUGUUUGUUGAUUCGGAAAUUCUUGAUUGAAACGUGUUUUUAUUUUUUAGGACCUGGAACAGUUGGUUUUAG